rnacentral:RNase_P_RNA from 1 species
CGUGUUGGCCGGAUCAUCGCCUUGCCGAAAGGCAGGGAGGAAAGUCCGAACUCCAUAGGGCACCGUACUUCCUAACGGGAAGGCAUCGCAUGAGCGAUGACGGCAAGUGCAACAGAAAGCAAACCAGCCGAUGGCCCUUACGGGCCAGGUGAUGGGUGAAAUGGUGCGGGUAAGAGCCCACCAGCGUCAUGGGAGAUCAUGGCGGCUAGGUAAACCCUACGCGGAGCAAGGCCAAACAGCAUCGCACGCGCAAGCGAUAAGGUGGCCCGCCAAAUAGCGAUGCGGGUAGGCUGCUAGAGGCCAGUGGUGACACUGGUCCCAGAUAGAUGAUGAUCCCUCCGGCUUCGCUGCACGGUGGCCGCAGCGCCGGAUAGACAGAAUUCGGCUUACAAGUCAACACGUACC